rnacentral:rRNA from 1 species
AAUUUUGGACAAUGGGGGAAACCCUGAUCCAGCCAUCCCGGGUGUAUGAUGAAGGCCUUCUGGUUGUAAAGUACUUUGUUCAGAGAAGAAAAGGUAUCCCCUAAUACGGGAUACUGCUGACGGUAUCUGAAGAAUAAGCACAGGCUAACUACGUGCCAGCAGCCGCGGUAAUACGUAGGGUGCAAGCGUUAAUCGUAAUUACGGGGCGUAAAACGUGUGUAGGCGGUUCGGAAAUAAAGAUGUGAAAUCCCACGGCUCAACCUUGGAACUGCAUUUUUAACUGCCGAGCUAGAGUAUGUCAGAGGGGGGUAGAAUUCCACGUGUAGCAGUGAAAUGCGUAGAUAUGUGGAGGAAUACCGAUGGCGAAGGCAGCCCCCUGGGAUAAUACUGACGCUCAGACACGAAAGCGUGGGGAGCAAACAGG